rnacentral:rRNA from 1 species
AUGCACGCUGGCGGCGUGCCUAAUCCCUGCAAGUCGCGCGCACGGACGAGAAGCUUGCUUUUCUGAUGUUAGCGGCGGACGGGUGAGUAACACGUGGAUAACCUACCUAUAAGACUGGGAUAACUUCGGGAAACCGGAGCUAAUACCGGAUAAUAUUUUGAACCGCAUGGUUCAAAAGUGAAAGACGGUCUUGCUGUCACUUAUAGAUGGAUCCGCGCUGCAUUAGCUAGUUGGUAAGGUAACGGCUUACCAAGGCAACGAUGCAUAGCCGACCUGAGAGGGUGAUCGGCCACACUGGAACUGAGACACGGUCCAGACUCCUACGGGAGGCAGCAGUAGGGAAUCUUCCGCAAUGGGCGAAAGCCUGACGGAGCAACGCCGCGUGAGUGAUGAAGGUCUUCGGAUCGUAAAACUCUGUUAUUAGGGAAGAACAUAUGUGUAAGUAACUGUGCACAUCUUGACGGUACCUAAUCAGAAAGCCACGGCUAACUACGUG